rnacentral:rRNA from 1 species
GGCGUGCUUAACACAUGCAAGUCGAACGGAAAGGCCCUGCUUUUGUGGGGUGCUCGAGUGGCGAGCGGGUGAGUAACACGUGAGUAACCUGCCCUUGACUUUGGGAUAACUUCAGGAAACUGGGGCUAAUACCGGAUAGGAGCUCCUGCUGCAUGGUGGGGGUUGGAAAGUUUCGGCGGUUGGGGAUGGACUCGCGGCUUAUCAGCUUGUUGGUGGGGUAGUGGCUUACCAAGGCUUUGACGGGUAGCCGGCCUGAGAGGGUGACCGGCCACAUUGGGACUGAGAUACGGCCCAGACUCCUACGGGAGGCAGCAGUGGGAAUAUUGCACAAUGGGCGGAAGCCUGAUGCAGCAACGCCGCGUGCGGGAUGACGGCCUUCGGGUUGUAAACCGCUUUCGCCUGUGACGAAGCGUGAGUGACGGUAAUGGGUAAAGAAGCACCGGCUAACUACGUGCCAGCAGCCGCGGUGAUACGUAGGGUGCGAGCGUUGUCCGGAUUUAUUGGGCGUAAAGGGCUCGUAGGUGGUUGAUCGCGUCGGAAGUGUAAUCUUGGGGCUUAACCCUGAGCGUGCUUUCGAUACGGGUUGACUUGAGGAAGGUAGGGGAGAAUGGAAUUCCUGGUGGAGCGGUGGAAUGCGCAGAUAUCAGGAGGAACACCAGUGGCGAAGGCGGUUCUCUGGGCCUUUCCUGACGCUGAGGAGCGAAAGCGUGGGGAGCGAACAGGCUUAGAUACCCUGGUAGUCCACGCUGUAAACGGUGGGUACUAGGUGUGGGGUCCAUUCCACGGGUUCCGUGCCGUAGCUAACGCUUUAAGUACCCCGCCUGGGGAGUACGGCCGCAAGGCUAAAACUCAAAGGAAUUGACGGGGCCCCGCACAAGCGGCGGAGCAUGCGGAUUAAUUCGAUGCAACGCGUAGAACCUUACCUGGGUUUGACAUGGAUCGGGAGUGCUCAGAGAUGGGUGUGCCUCUUUUGGGGUCGGUUCACAGGUGGUGCAUGGCUGUCGUCAGCUCGUGUCGUGAGAUGUUGGGUUAAGUCCCGCAACGAGCGCAACCCUUGUUCACUGUUGCCAGCACGUUAUGGUGGGGACUCAGUGGAGACCGCCGGGGUCAACUCGGAGGAAGGUGGGGAUGACGUCAAGUCAUCAUGCCCCUUAUGUCCAGGGCUUCACGCAUGCUACAAUGGCUGGUACAGAGAGUGGCGAGCCUGUGAGGGUGAGCGAAUCUCGGAAAGCCGGUCUCAGUUCGGAUUGGGGUCUGCAACUCGACCUCAUGAAGUCGGAGUCGCUAGUAAUCGCAGAUCAGCAACGCUGCGGUGAAUACGUUCCCGGGGCUUGUACACACCGCCCGUCAAGUCAUGAAAGUUGGUAACACCCGAAGCCGGUGGCCUAACCGUUGUGGGGGAGCCGUCGAAGGUGGGACUGGUGAUUAGGACUAAGU